CCUACGGGAGGCUGCAGUGAGGAAUAUUGGUCAAUGGUCGGGAGACUGAACCAGCCAAGCCGCGUGAGGGAUGAAGGUACAGAGUAUCGUAAACCUCUUUUGUCAGGGAACAAAGGCGGGGACGUGUCCCCGGAUGAGUGUAACUGAAGAAAAAGCAUCGGCUAACUCCGUGGCAGCAGCCGCGGUAAUACGGAGGAUGCGAGCGUUAUCCGGAUUUAGUGGGUGUAAAGGGAGCGUAGACGGUUAUGUAAGUCUGGAGUGAAAGCCCGCGGCGCAACCCCGGGACUGCUUUGGAAACUGUGUAACUGGAGUACAGGAGGGGCAGGCGGAAUUCCUGGUGUAGCGGUAAAAUGCGUAGAUAUCAGGAGGAACACCGGCGGCGAAGGCGGCCUGCUGGACUGAAACUGACGUUGAGGCGCGAAAGCGUGGGGAGCAAACAGGAUUAGAUACCCGAGUAGUC
rnacentral:rRNA from 1 species